UCAAUCAUCCUUUUACCCAUUAAAUCACUGCAGUGAUUCCGGGGUUUUUGAUUAGAACAAACUUUUACUUAUUCCUUCAAAUCAUCGGUCAAUGGUAUAUAAUUAACACUCCACAAACUGCAAGGGACUGCCCAGAUACUGUCUAAGCUCCCUGAAGAUUUCAGCCAAAGUUCAUGCUCUUUGGUUUAUACUUAAUUGCCGAUGAUGGCACUUGGAAAGAACAAAAGAAGGGUGACUAAAAAUUAUCCUGUUUUAUAAUCCUAAUUACAGACUAAAUGAAAUCAGUACUACCAUACAUUUAGUACAGACUGAUGAUAUGAAGGCCAGUAUGAUAGCAAUAAAUUAAAUCAACUUGUGAAUAAACAUAUAAUUGAAAACGUAAACCAUAAUUAUAAACUAUGAAUUCUUCAGGUUCCUGGUGCUAGUCUCAAAGGUAUCUCUUUAAUAUCAUGAAAGAGAGAACAAAUAAACUGUGAGGAUAAAGGGAUAUUUUGCAGGGCAGAAAUUUCAGACUUUUUUAGAAACUCCUGGAAAAAAAUUUAAAUGUUCCAGUUUGGCGCUUUGAAUCGUAUGUUACGAGAGUGCACAAUUCCAACUUAAUAAAAUGUAUUAUCACUUCAUUCAGUGGAAAGGAUUGAGGCUUGAAUUUCCCCAAGUUAAUUCUUUUAAAACACCUUAUUUCAUUCAGGAUUGGUUUCCUUUAAGAUGCAUAGUGACGAUGUGAGAGUGAUAGCGUGUCACUUCAGGAAUUAUCUGGGUCUCCAUGUUUCUGAGAUCCCAGAUCGCUACCAAAAGAGGCUCCACAUUUUCUUAUACUCUGACUAGUCUUUCAGGUCACUUGACUGUGACAGCCUGACUUGUCUCACAAGCUGGCAUCUCUCAAAAUAUUCAGGCAUACUAAUUUUUUUUCUUCUCUCAUGCUAUCCAAUAUUGAGUUAUUCUUCUCUUUAAAUGAGCAUUCACCAGUCAUUUGCUGUUUUUCUAAAAAACUGGCUCCCAAGAAAUGCAAUGACAAAAUUAUCUGGAUGUUCUUCCUUCUCAGGUCACAUCCUAUUUCAUACCACACUGUAGGGCUGUGUUGUUCCUUGAGAGCUAGAACUUCCCCAAACUGAAGCCCAGCUCAAAAUGAACUAUCUGAAGCACAGUCCAAAGGAGAUGCUAGCUCACUGAGUGGACAGGGAAGUCCGAGAAUAAAGGGAGAACUCUAUUUUACACACACACACAUGCACGCACACACGCGAACAGAUCUUCUGUGAAAAACCUACCUACCUUCAUACUUCACAGUCUGGUUCCAACAAGACUGUUUUUCUCCUUCCAUAUUUCCAAGCCCCAUGAUUGCAUGCUUCUUACAAACCACCCCCCAAAUGAUAACCUCUUUAUUUAGUGGCCCUCAGCACAAAUGACUGUCAGUGUCUUGAUCUCUUCAAGGCUGGAUAACCGUACAAAGGGCAACCGUCACUAAGGCAGUUCUAGGACCUACAGGUGGUUCAUUCUUGCCCCUAGGCGACAAUGAGAGGAGGCAUUAUCACCUCAUGCCUUUGGGGCUCUCAGUAAAAGUCACCUUCUUCUUCCCAUAGAAAUAUGUUUAUGUAGCACCCAAGUGUUUAAGAACACCCCUCCUUGUCCAGCCUCCAUCUAUAUUUAAUAUUUCACAGUAGGCCCUCAAUAAUGUCUAAAUAAUAGUGAGUGCCCCCACAGCCUAUCAUCAAGCAUGUUAUCAAAACACCAGUGUUUCUCCAUGCACUAAAGUGACAUUAAAAAUUAACUGUAUGAACUAUUUUAUUACAGUACUGUAUUUUUUAUUCUUUCCUAGCUCCUCACAAAGUCCUAUGUACUUCUCCAGAGACACAGUGUGAACAGAGUUAAAACUAAAAUAAGCUCCUUUCCACAGUGGUUACAAGAAGGGAGCCACAAUCAAAGUGCCCACUCAGGAAUUAAUAGCCUUUGUUUUGGUAACGUAUAAUUAUUAACUUUCAGUUGUUGUCUGAUACCUCGCUUCUGCAUACAGGGCGACUUGUUCUAUGAAAUAUGUCCCCAUUUAGUAUCCACCUUCUUUCCUAUUCAUUAUGUGGAUUAACAAGCAAUCUGUGCAGGCAAAUUAAAAGGAGAGAGUUUUCAGAGUUCCCGUUGUGACUCAGUGUAACAAACCAGACUAGCAUACAUGAGUAUGAGGGUUUGAUCCCUGGGCUCACUCAGGGGGUUCAGGAUCUGGUGUUGCUGUGGCUGUGGCAUAGGCCCGGAGCUGCAGCUCCUAUUAAACCCCUAGCCUAGGAACUUCUAUGCCUAGGGUGCAGCCCUAAAAAGACAGAGGAAAAAAAAAAAAGAGUGUUUUCUCACGACACUAAAGACAAUCUAGAUCUAAAGUAAGAAUAUUUUUCAAAACUGUGAUUAAGAUGCAACAAAACUUGGAGUUCCCAUCAUGGCUCAUGGAUUACAAAAGUCUUGAUGAUGAGAACAGUGAAACAUUCUCUUUACACUUUAUAUUCUCUUCAUACUUUAUUUUAUAUUCCCUACACUUUAUAUUCUCUUCAUACUUUAUUUCAUAUUCCCACAUACUUUACACAUACCAGGAUCCCAAUAAUUACAUAUGUUAAAUUAGAUUUGUAUUAUAUCAUUACACAUUCCAGCUCUAGUCCAACUGUAAGCCUCAGCAAGCACGUCUAGGCCUUUUCUAUAAAAUGUUUCUAAACAGUUGGCAAGAGGAUAUAUUCUGAAGAGUAACUGGAGAUAUGCAAUUUUUGUGGAGGAUUCAUUAAAAAAAAAAUAACAGCCUGGAGUAAAUUUCAGACAUGAACAGCCUGACCCCUAAAGAAAUUAAUAAAAUAAAAAUGAAAACAACAUAAUAAGAGGUCUAAGUGAAGGAACUAGGAAUAUUAGGCCUGAAGAAAAGAAUACCUACGGAGCACGCGAUCACUAUCUUUAAAUAAUGGUAAGAUCGUCAUACAAGUCCAUGAGAAAACGUACUCUGCAUGGUGGCAGAGGGCUCAACUG
rnacentral:lncRNA from 1 species